AGUGAACGCUGGCGGUAGGCCUAACACAUGCAAGUCGAACGGCAGCACAGUAAGAGCUUGCUCUUACGGGUGGCGAGUGGCGGACGGGUGAGGAAUACAUCGGAAUCUACUUUUUCGUGGGGGAUAACGUAGGGAAACUUACGCUAAUACCGCAUACGACCUACGGGUGAAAGCAGGGGAUCUCCGGACCUUGCGCGAUUGAAUGAGCCGAUGUCGGAUUAGCUAGUUGGCGGGGUAAAGGCCCACCAAGGCGACGAUCCGUAGCUGGUCUGAGAGGAUGAUCAGCCACACUGGAACUGAGACGCGGUCCAGACUCCUACGGGAGGCAGCAGUGGGGAAUAUUGGACAAUGGGCGCAAGCCUGAUCCAGCCAUACCGCGUGGGUGAAGAAGGCCUUCGGGUUGUAAAGCCCUUUUGUUGGGAAAGAAAAGCAGCAGGUUAAUACCCCGCUGUUCUGACGGUACCCAAAGAAUAAGCACCGGCUAACUUCGUG
rnacentral:rRNA from 1 species